CCUACGGGAGGCAGCAGUGGGGGAUAUUGGACAAUGGUGGGAACCCUGAUCCAGCGACGCCGCGUGAGUGAAGAAGUAUCUCGGUAUGUAAAGCUCUGUCAGCCGGGAAGAAAGAAAUGACGGUACCUGACCAAGAAGCCCCGGCUAACUACGAGCCAGCAGGCGCGGUAAUACGGAGGGGGCAGGCGUUAUCCGGAAUUACUGGGUGUAAAGGGAGCGUAGACGGGUAAGUAAGGCUGGAGGGAAAGGCCGGGGGCCAACCCCGGGACUGCUCUGGAAACGAGGUCACUUGAGUUCAGGAGAGGUAUGCGGAAUGCCUAGUGUAGCGGUGAAAUGCGUAGAUAUUAGGAGGAACACCAGUGGCGAAGGCGGCUUACUGGACUGUAACUGACGUUGAGGCUCGAAAGCGUGGGGAGCAAACAGGAUUAGAUACCCGAGUAGUC
rnacentral:rRNA from 1 species